CAAUAUAUUAAAUUCGAGAUUCCUGUUUUAGACAGCUUUGUAGUGAAACUUAAAGAGGAAGAGGAACGUGAGAUAAACAAGCUGACCAGAAAGUACAGCUCUCUGAAGUCUAUGAUCCAACUUCAGCUCGAAGGCAGAGCCAGUGAAAUAAUAUGAGUUUCUGCAGGCACUGAUGUGUGUGUGUGUGUGUGUGUGUGUGUGUGCGUGCGUGCGUGUUGAACACUAAUGAUUGUUGAAUUCCUUUGGGAAAAUGUGCCAAUACUGUAGUGAAUGUAGAGGUAAGAGGGUAAAAGUAAAGGCUGCAAUAGAACCAUAUCAUACACCAACGUGCUUCUACUUUUA